rnacentral:rRNA from 1 species
GAUGAACGCUAGCGGCAGGCCUAAUACAUGCAAGUCGAACGGUAAGGUCUCUUCGGAGAUACACGAGCGGCGCACGGGGGAGUAAAGCGGAUGCAACCUACCUUGAACUGAGUGAGGCAUAGCCCAGAGAAAUCUGGAUUAAUACUUCAUAAUAAUAUAAAACGACAUCGUUUAAUAUUUAAAGCUCCGGCGGUUUAAGAUGGGCAUGCGUGACAUUAGUUAGUUGGUAAGGUAACGGCUUACCAAGACAGCGAUGUCUAGGGGUUCUGAGAGGAUUUUCCCCCACACUGGUACUGAGACACGGACCAGACUCCUACGGGAGGCAGCAGUAAGGAAUAUUGGGCAAUGGACGAAAGUCUGACCCAGCCAUGCCGCGUGCAGGAUGAAAGCCCUAUGGGUUGUAAACUGCUUUUAUAUGAGAAGAAACUCCCCUACGUGUAGUGGACUGACGGUUAUCUUAUGCUUCAGGACCGGCUAACUCCGUGCCAGCAGCCGCGGUAAUACGGAGGGUCCGAGCGUUAUCCGGAUUUAUUGGGUUUAAAGGGUGCGCAGGCGGCUUAUUAAGUCAGUGGUGAAAUCUCUCGGCUCAACCGAGAAACUGCCAUUGAAACUGAUAGUCUUGAGUAUAGUUGUAGUGGGCGGAAUAUAGCAUGUAGCGGUGAAAUGCUUAGAUAUGCUAUAGAACACCGAUCGCGAAGGCAGCUCACUAAACUAUAACUGACGCUCAGGCACGAAAGCGUGGGGAGCAAACAGGAUUAGAUACCCUGGUAGUCCACGCCGUAAACGAUGAUAACUCGAUGUUGGCAAUACACCGUCAGCGUCCAAGCGAAAGCGUUAAGUUAUCCACCUGGGGAGUACGAUCGCAAGGUUGAAACUCAAAGGAAUUGACGGGGGCCCGCACAAGCGGAGGAGCAUGUGGUUUAAUUCGAUGAUACGCGAGGAACCUUACCUGGGCUCAAACGUAGAGUGACCGACUGUGAAAGCAGUCUUCCCUUCGGGGCAGUCUACGAGGUGCUGCAUGGUUGUCGUCAGCUCGUGCCGUGAGGUGUCGGGUUAAGUCCCAUCAAGAGCGCAACCCCUAUCUUUAGUUGCCAGCGGAUAAUGCCGGGGACUCUAAAGAAACUGCCUACGCAAGUAGUGAGGAAGGUGGGGAUGACGUCAAAUCAGCACGGCCCUUACGUCUAGGGCUACACACGUGCUACAAUGGCCAGUUCAAAGGGUCGCUACCUGGCAACAGGAUGCUAAUCUCUAAAUCUGGUCUCAGUUCGGAUCGAAGUCUGCAACUCGACUUCGUGAAGUUGGAUUCGCUAGUAAUCGUGUAUCAGCAAUGACACGGUGAAUACGUUCCCGGGCCUUGUACACACCGCCCGUCAAGCCAUGGAAGUUUGGGGUACCUGAAGUCGAUAACCGCAAGGAGUCGCCUAGGGUAAAACUAAUGACUGGGGCU